CAGAGGAGGCAAGCGUUGUUCGGAAUCACUGGGCUUAAAGCGCGUGUAGGUGGUCUAGCAAGUACUUUGUGAAAUGCCUGGGCUCAACCUGGGACAUGCUUGGUAUACUGCUGGACUUGAGGCGGAUAGGGGUGCUUGGAACUCUAGGUGGAGCGGUGAAAUGCGUAGAUAUCUAGGGGAACGCCAGAGGCGAAAGCGGAGCACUGGGUCCGAACUGACACUGAUGCGCGAAAGCGUAGGGAGCAAACGGGAUUAGAUACCCCGGUAGUCUACGCCGUAAACGAUGCGCACUAGACUUCUAUGUCUCUGACGGCAUGGGAGUCGAAAGAAAACCGAUAAGUGCGCCGCCUGGGGAGUACGGCCGCAAGGCUA
rnacentral:rRNA from 1 species